UAAUGCACGGCUGGAAGUGAAGAA
rnacentral:misc_RNA from 1 species